rnacentral:rRNA from 1 species
CAUCACUACGCUAGAUGCAUAUCAAUAAGCGGAGGAAAAGAAACUAACAAGGAUUCCCUUAGUAACGGCGAGUGAAGCGGGAAGAGCUCAAAUUUGAAAUCUUCAAGGUUCUACCUUGACGAAUUGUAGUUUAUAGAAGUGUUUUCUGUUAGUGGAGUGGCAAAAGUUCUUUGGAAUAGGACAUCAUAGAGGGUGAGAAUCCCGUAUUUGGUCAUUCCUCCUAGCGUUGUGAUACACUUUCAACGAGUCGGAUUGUUUGGGAAUGCAGUCCAAAAUGGGUGGUAAAUUUCAUCUAAAGCUAAAUAUUGGCGAGAGACCGAUAGCGAACAAGUACCGUGAGGGAAAGAUGAAAGGAACUUUGAAAAGAGAGUUAAACAGUACGUGAAAUUGUCAAAAGGGAAGCGUUUGACACCAGUGUUGUUUAGUUGAAAAUCAAUUCAAUAGUUUUUGAUUCUAAGUAGUAUUGACUUCAUCAGCUUGCUGCUUUCUUCUCAGAAAUUAUUGAAUGCACUUUUCAGUUAACAAGUCAACAUCAAUUUCUUUUGUUGUAAAAGGGUAAGAGGAAGGUGGCUUGCGCUUCGGCUCAAGUGUUUAUAGCCUUUUAUCUCUGCAAUCGGAGAGAUUGAGGUCUGCAGCGUAGAUCCUUCGGGGUUAGAUACAUUGGUGCUAAGCUAUAGCCUUGUAUAGACAACUUGUUGACUAUGCUCAGUCAUGUAGCUUACUCGCUGAUGCUAUUUUACCUACGCUUAGGAUGUUGAUAUGCAUGACUGAUAU